UUUCAUCUUCCUUCUUAACUCCCCGGAUUUUGUCUCUGAGCUGAUGCUUCAGGUCACCAUUAAUGCCUCUUGCCUGUGACCAUGUACAGUUGAGCAUAGCUGUCUUCUUUGUUGAGAUGUUGUGCCUGAAUGGAAACCUAGCAGCAUCUACUGUUCUUGCAUGGUCACACUUUUAUUCCUGAGAACUAUAUGGAUACAGACCCUUUGUCUUUGGGCACAGAAUGCUGCUGUGAAAUGUCUGACCUGAAACUGACUACCCUCCUGCAUGCCAGCAUCCUGGAGCACACUAUUUUAAUGGGACACAUCUAGCACAGCAUUUCCCAAACUGGAUUCCUUAAAUCUCUAGUCUCCAGAGACGUUACUCAGUUUGAGCUGGGCACAUGGGCAUAUCCAACACCCGGAUGACAGAGAUGCACAUGAAAGGAACCAGGAUCCUUUUAUGACAUUGAAGGAUCAGCUGCCAGUCCUCGCUGGACUACUGAACUCAGGACUCCUGAGAACCAAAGUCGUUUGUCUUACAUUGGUCAUUGUAUCCUGGUGGUUUAGCAGAGGCUGGUACCUUAAUAAUGCAUCAUCCUUAUCCUAUAAAAAAUUUCUAUAGGAACUGGGUAUAUUUCUGGAAAUUAAUAUUUGUUCCAUUGAUUUAUCUCUUUAUUCAUGGACAUGUGACAUAUUUUUUAACUUGUGAUAGCUUUAUUUUAUGAACAUUUAAAACAUUCA
rnacentral:lncRNA from 1 species